rnacentral:rRNA from 1 species
GGCGGACGGGUGAGUAAUGUCUGGGAAACUGCCUGAUGGAGGGGGAUAACUACUGGAAACGGUAGCUAAUACCGCAUAACGUCGCAAGACCAAGAGGGGACCUUCGGGCCUCUUGCCAUCGGAUGUGCCCAGAUGGGAUUAGCUUGUUGGUGGGGUAACGGCUCACCAAGGCGACGAUCCCUAGCUGGUCUGAGAGGAUGACCAGCCACACUGGAACUGAGACACGGUCCAGACUCCUACGGGAGGCAGCAUG